AUUGAACGCUGGCGGCAGGCCUAACACAUGCAAGUCGAACGAGUGGCGGACGGGUGAGUAAUGUAUGGGAACCUGCUUGAGGGCGGGGGAUAACUACUGGCAACGGUCGCUAAUACCGCCAACCUUCCGCUGUGCCGUGGUGGGAUUAGCUUGUUGUUGGGGUAACGGCUGAACAAGGCGCAGAACCCUAGCUGGUAUGAGAGGAUGACCAGCAACACUGGAACUGAGACACGGUCCAGACUCCUACGGGAGGCAGCAGUGGGGAAUAUUGAGCAAUGGGCGCAAGCCUGAUGCAGCAAUGCCGCGUGUAUGAAGAAGGCCUUCGGGUUGUAAAGUACUUUCAGCGGGGAGGCGUUACCCGCAGAAGAAGCACCGGCUAACUCCGUGCCAGCAGCCGCGGUAAUUG
rnacentral:rRNA from 1 species